rnacentral:tRNA from 1 species
GCUCACUUGGUGGAAGUGGUAGACACGACAGACUUAAAAUCUGUUCCCCCUGGGGAUAUCGGUUCAAAUCCGAUAGUGAGCA